AUUGAACGCUGGCGGCAGGCCUAACACAUGCAAGUCGAGCGAGCGGCGGACGGGUGUGUAAUGUCUGGGAAACUGCCUGUUGGAGGGGGAUAACUACUGGAAACGGUAGCUCAUACCGCAUACCAUCAGAUGUGCCCAGAGGGGUUUAGCUAGUAGGUGGGGUAACGGCUCACCGAGGCGCCGAUCCCUAGCUGGGCUGAGAGGAUGACCAGCCACACUGGAACUGAGACACGGUCCAGACUCCUACGGGAGGCAGCAGUGGGGAAUAUUGCACAAUGGGCGCAAGCCUGAUGCAGCCAUGCCGCGUGUGUGAAGAAGGCCUUCGGGUUGUAAAGCACUUUCAGCGGGGAGGCGUUACCCGAAGAAGAAGCACCGGCUAACUCCGUGCCAGCAGCCGCGGUAAUUC
rnacentral:rRNA from 1 species